AAGAUUUUAAGUUAUAUAAACUAAGAACCUUCAAAGUUCUAAAAGAAUUUUAAUUCAAAUCUUG
rnacentral:tRNA from 1 species